UGGAGGGGUGCGAUAGGGCUCCAAAAGCCAAGAAAGAGUUGGCUUACAGAGUGGGCGGAAUGGAUCCUACUCUGUUUCGCCCUCCCUUCGCACUGCUCUCACCUGCCUGCAGCAUCCAGCCGCGCUUCCACCGCAGUUAACAACUUUCAUGACCCUUUUUUCGUUGCCUCAAAGGCCAGAGACUUCCCAAGAGCGCUAUCGCCAGGCCCCGCCCCUCUGUCCUGCCGCACCUCCUCAUUGGCGGAGAGGACUGUUUCCGUUAGUCAAUCGCGUUAGCCCUAGCACCCGACUCCACCCACUCAGCAUCCUGGGCGUACGCAAUUGGUCAGAAAUGGAAGCUUACUUGCUUUGGGUGCUCCUGCUCCUGGUUCAUCUCAGCAAUUUGCCUGACAGAGGUUACAGCAAAUUUGAGUGA
rnacentral:lncRNA from 1 species